rnacentral:rRNA from 1 species
GCCGCGGUAAUACAGAGGGUGCGAGCGUUGUUCGGGAUUAUUGGGCGUAAAGGGCGCGUGGGGGGUCUGGUAAGUCACCUGUGAAAUCUCCUGGCUCAAAAGGGAGCUUGCAGGCGAAACUGCCUGGCUGGAGUGUGGGAGAGGUGCGUGGAAUUCCCGGUGUAGCGGUGAAAUGCGUAGAUAUCUGGAGGAACACCUGUGGCGAAAGCGGCGCACUGGACCACAACUGACGCUGAGGCGCGAAAGGUAGGGGAGCAAACACGAUUAGAUACCCCGGUAGUCCCCGCCCUAAACUAUGGAUGCUUGCUGUGAUCGGUACCCAAUCCGUUCGUGCCGCAGCUAACGC